CCCCUUAUCGGACAGAACGCGCACCGACUGCGCCCCGAAGUAUUUCAGCAAGUCCUCUUUUUCCUCGGCGGUCAGCUCGGCCGGCAGGUGCCUCACUAGAAGGGUCCUGUCGCCCCGGGGUGGGGAGAGCGAAGUGGAGCUUGGGCAUCCUCUCGGCAUCGGCAGUGGCUGCUCGGGGGCCGCCAUUUUCCUUGGAGAAAAAGCAAAAGAACCGCAGGGGAAGAAGCCUCCGUCAAAACUGCGGCAUCAACAGAACCUGAGAUAAAUGAGUACUUUUCCGCUUCGCGCUAAGGAUUCUGGAAACAAGGAAACACCGCGAGAGAUUGUCUACUUCUCGCGAGAAUGCGCCACGGUCAAGCGGGCCCUGGGCGGUGAUCUUUUCCUCGGAGUACGAGGUGCUACAAUGAAGGUGUGUGUUGGAGGAAACCAAUGAAAGCAUUUUUGUGGAGGCCACAUUGAGGUGGUAGAACUAUAAGGUAAAUGUUGCCAAGAAUAACAAGUGAGAAUGUGUGGGCUACAUAAGAGGGCCAGAAUUGUCUUAUACCCACUUCAAGAUUCUGCCUAAAAGGAAAAGGAUAUCAUAACACAAGUUAUAGAUAUAUAGAUAAUACUGACAGAAAUAAUAAGUAACACCCAAUAUGGAUAUACUACAUUCAUCAAGGGAACUAAAUGUGCAAGACCUCAGUGAUUGGAGAUGUUCAGAGAAUCCACAAAGUACCCCAAAACUAGCAGCUUAAAUAUCUAAGGUGGGACUGCAAAUUAAUACAACUAUUUUGGAAUGCAGUAUGGAGAUUUCUCAAA